rnacentral:ncRNA from 1 species
UAUAUAUUUCAGGGGAGCUGAGAAGCUGAGAGGAGAUGCAAAUCUCGACCCUUUAAACCUGUUUGGAUAAUGCCAGCGUAGGGAGAAAAAUCAGAUUAUAU